UGGCGGCGGAGGAGGUGAUGGCUGCAGCCACUCCCUUCCUGGGCUGCGGUGCGCCGCCGGGGGCGCUGCCGCUGUGGGCUCGCCCCGCUCUUGCAGGAAAACAGCUGGAGUCGAGAGGGAGCGGCUUUUCGAAAACCUGCUCCGCGAACAAAGCGUAAUGUGCAUGCCGAAUCUUUGGCCUUGGAGGCGUGGCACUGAGAUGGAUCAAAAUGUCUCUCCUUUUGCUUCAAAAUAGUCCACUGGGGAAUGGAGUGUGGACUGGAGAAAGGUGGAAACAAAAAUGUCCCUGUGUUGGUAACUAGGUUAAGGUAUGCAAAUGAGAAGAAUGGAAUUCUUUGGGAUGAUAUUUUGCUUAAUUAGGAUCAAGGGGCGCCUGGGUGGCUCAGUCGUUAAGUGUCUGCCUUCGGCUCAGGUCAUGGUCCCAGGGUCCUGGGAUGGAGCCCCACAUUGGGCUCCCUGCUCGGCGGGGAGCCUGCUUCUCCCUCUGCCCUCCCCCUGCUUGUGUUCCCUCUCUUGCUGUGUCUCU